UACGUAGGGGGCAAGCGUUAUCCGGAUUUAUUGGGUUUAAAGGGUGCGUAGGCGGCCUAUUAAGUCAGGGGUGAAAGACGGUAGCUUAACUAUCGCAGUGCCUUUGAUACUGAUGGGCUUGAAUGUACUUGAGGUAGGCGGAAUGUGACAAGUAGCGGUGAAAUGCAUAGAUAUGUCACAGAACACCAAUUGCGAAGGCAGCUUACUAAAGUAUGAUUGACGCUGAGGCACGAAAGCGUGGGGAUCAAACAGG
rnacentral:rRNA from 1 species